rnacentral:rRNA from 1 species
AAUUUAAAUUAAAAAUAAAAAAAAGUUAAGGGACAAAAGGUGAAGUAAAAUAAUAAAAUAGUAAAUUUUGUUUAAGGUAAAACCUAAAUAAAAAAAGUUGUAAAAUGACAAAAGAAAAUUUUAUAUAGUAUUAGGUAAUUAAUAAAAAUAAAUAAAAUUAAGCCUACGAUGCUUAGCUGAUUUUAACGAAUGAUCAGCCACAAUGGGCUAGAAAAAAGUGCCUGAACUAAACGGCUGCAGUAAAGAAUCUUGGACAAUACAUUAAAAUGUGUGAUCCAGCAAGCCUCCGUAGAAUAUGAAGGAUUGGACGAGAUAAAGUUCUCUGUAAAUUCUGGAUCUUUUUAAAAUAUAAUGAUCAUAUAAAAAGGGAAAGUCCCGGCUAAAUUUGUGCCAGCAGCCGCGGUAACACAAAUGGGACAAGUGUUAUUCAUAUUAACUAGGCGUAAAGGGC